rnacentral:rRNA from 1 species
AUUGAACGCUGGCGGCAGGCCUAACACAUGCAAGUCGAACGAGUGGCGGACGGGUGAGUAAUGUCUGGGAAACUGCCCGAUGGAGGGGGAUAACUACUGGAAACGGUAGCUAAUACCGCAUACCAUCGGAUGUGCCCAGAUGGGAUUAGCUUGUGGGUGGGGUAAUGGCUCACCUAGGCGACGAUCCCUAGCUGGUCGGAGAGGAUGACCAGCCACAGUGGAACUGAGACACGGUCCAGAAUCCUACGGUAGGCAGCAGUGGGGAAUAUUGCACAAGGGGCGCAAGCCUGAUGCAGCCAUGCCGCGUGUAUGAAGAAGGCCUUCGGGUUGUAAAGUACUGUCAGCGGGGAGGCGUUACCCGCAGAAGAAGCACCGGCUAACUCCGUGCCAGCAGCCGCGGUAAUUC